rnacentral:rRNA from 2 species
CGGUUAAGUUAGAAAGGGCGCACGGUGGAUGCCUUGGCACUAGGAGCCGAUGAAGGACGGGACGAACACCGAUAUGCUUCGGGGAGCUGUAAGCAAGCUUUGAUCCGGAGAUUUCCGAAUGGGGAAACCCACCACUCGUAAUGGAGUGGUAUCCAUAUCUGAAUUCAUAGGAUAUGAGAAGGCAGACCCGGGGAACUGAAACAUCUAAGUACCCGGAGGAAGAGAAAGCAAAUGCGAUUCCCUGAGUAGCGGCGAGCGAAACGGGAUUAGCCCAAACCAAGAGGCUUGCCUCUUGGGGUUGUAGGACACUCUGUACGGAGUUACAAAAGAACGAGGUAGAUGAAGAGGUCUGGAAAGGCCCGCCAUAGGAGGUAACAGCCCUGUAGUCAAAACUUCGUUCUCUCCUGAGUGGAUCCUGAGUACGGCGGAACACGUGAAAUUCCGUCGGAAUCCGGGAGGACCAUCUCCCAAGGCUAAAUACUCCCUAGUGACCGAUAGUGAACCAGUACCGUGAGGGAAAGGUGAAAAGCACCCCGGAAGGGGAGUGAAAGAGAUCCUGAAACCGUGUGCCUACAAGUAGUCAGAGCCCGUUAACGGGUGAUGGCGUGCCUUUUGUAGAAUGAACCGGCGAGUUACGAUCCCGUGCAAGGUUAAGCAGAAGAUGCGGAGCCGCAGCGAAAGCGAGUCUGAAUAGGGCGCAUGAGUACGUGGUCGUAGACCCGAAACCAGGUGAUCUACCCAUGUCCAGGGUGAAGUUCAGGUAACACUGAAUGGAGGCCCGAACCCACGCACGUUGAAAAGUGCGGGGAUGAGGUGUGGGUAGGGGUGAAAUGCCAAUCGAACCUGGAGAUAGCUGGUUCUCUCCGAAAUAGCUUUAGGGCUAGCCUCAAGGUAAGAGUCUUGGAGGUAGAGCACUGAUUGGACUAGGGGCCCCUACCGGGUUACCGAAUUCAGUCAAACUCCGAAUGCCAAUGACUUAUCCUUGGGAGUCAGACUGCGAGUGAUAAGAUCCGUAGUCGAAAGGGAAACAGCCCAGACCGCCAGCUAAGGUCCCAAAGUAUACGUUAAGUGGAAAAGGAUGUGGAGUUGCUUAGACAACCAGGAUGUUGGCUUAGAAGCAGCCACCAUUUAAAGAGUGCGUAAUAGCUCACUGGUCGAGUGACUCUGCGCCGAAAAUGUACCGGGGCUAAACGUAUCACCGAAGCUGCGGACUGUUCUUCGAACAGUGGUAGGAGAGCGUUCUAAGGGCUGUGAAGCCAGACCGGAAGGACUGGUGGAGCGCUUAGAAGUGAGAAUGCCGGUAUGAGUAGCGAAAGAGGGGUGAGAAUCCCCUCCACCGAAUGCCUAAGGUUUCCUGAGGAAGGCUCGUCCGCUCAGGGUUAGUCGGGACCUAAGCCGAGGCCGAAAGGCGUAGGCGAUGGACAACAGGUUGAUAUUCCUGUACCACCUCCUCACCAUUUGAGCAAUGGGGGGACGCAGGAGGAUAGGGUAAGCGCGGUAUUGGAUAUCCGCGUCCAAGCAGUUAGGCUGGGAAAUAGGCAAAUCCGUUUCCCAUAAGGCUGAGCUGUGAUGGCGAGCGAAAUAUAGUAGCGAAGUUCCUGAUUCCACACUGCCAAGAAAAGCCUCUAGCGAGGUGAGAGGUGCCCGUACCGCAAACCGACACAGGUAGGCGAGGAGAGAAUCCUAAGGUGAUCGAGAGAACUCUCGUUAAGGAACUCGGCAAAAUGACCCCGUAACUUCGGGAGAAGGGGUGCUCUGUUAGGGUGCAAGCCCGAGAGAGCCGCAGUGAAUAGGCCCAGGCGACUGUUUAGCAAAAACACAGGUCUCUGCGAAGCCGUAAGGCGAAGUAUAGGGGCUGACGCCUGCCCGGUGCUGGAAGGUUAAGAGGAGCGCUUAGCGUAAGCGAAGGUGCGAAUUGAAGCCCCAGUAAACGGCGGCCGUAACUAUAACGGUCCUAAGGUAGCGAAAUUCCUUGUCGGGUAAGUUCCGACCCGCACGAAAGGCGCAACGAUCUGGGCACUGUCUCAACGAGAGACUCGGUGAAAUUAUAGUACCUGUGAAGAUGCAGGUUACCCGCGACAGGACGGAAAGACCCCGUGGAGCUUUACUGCAGCCUGAUAUUGAAUGUUGGUACAGCUUGUACAGGAUAGGUAGGAGCCUUGGAAACCGGAGCGC